ACUUAUAUAGCUUAUAUUAGAGCAUUGCAUUGAAGCUGCAAGGGAGACAGAUAAUUGUUUGUAAGUG
rnacentral:tRNA from 1 species